AGUGAACGCUGGCGGUAGGCCUAACACAUGCAAGUCGAACGGCAGCACAGUAAGAGCUUGCUCUUACGGGUGGCGAGUGGCGGACGGGUGAGGAAUACACCGGAAUCUACUUUUUCGUGGGGGAUAACGUAGGGAAACUUACGCUAAUACCGCAUACGACCUACGGGUGAAAGCAGGGGAUCUUCGGACCUUGCGCGAUUGAAUGAGCCGAUGUCGGAUUAGCUAGUUGGCGGGGUAAAGGCCCACCAAGGCGACGAUCCGUAGCUGGUCUGAGAGGAUGAUCAGCCACACUGGAACUGAGACACGGUCCAGACUCCUACGGGAGGCGGCAGUGGGGAAUAUUGGACAAUGGGCGCAAGCCUGAUCCAGCCAUACCGCGUGGGUGAAGAAGGCCUUCGGGUUGUAAAGCCCUUUUGUUGGGAAAGAAAAGCAGCAGGUUAAUACCCCGCUGUUCUGACGGUACCCAAAGAAUAAGCACCGGCUAACUUCGUG
rnacentral:rRNA from 1 species